rnacentral:rRNA from 1 species
AUUGCACGCUGGCGGCAGGCCUAACACAUGCAAUUCGAGCGGAUGAUGGCAGCUUGCUCCUGGAUUGAGCGGCGGACGGGUGAGUAAUGCCUAUGAAUCUGCCUGGUAGUGGGGGACAACGGUUCGAAAGGAACGAUAAUACCGCAUACGUCCUACGGGAGAAAGCAGGGGACCUUCGGGCCUUGCGCUAUCAGUUGAGCCUAGGUCGGAUUAGCUAGUAGGUGAGGUAAAGGCUCACCUAGGCGACGAUCCGUAACUGGUCUGAGAGGAUGAUCAGUCACACUGGAACUGAGACACGGUCCAGACUCCUACGGGAGGCAGCAGUGGGGAAUAUUGGACAAUGGGCGAAAGCCUGAUCCAGCCAUGCCGCGUGUGUGAAGAAGGUCUUCGGAUUGUAAAGCACUUUAAGUUGGGAGGAAGGGCAGUAAGUUAAUACCUUGCUGUUUUGACGUUACCGACAGAAUAAGCACCGGCUAACUUCGUGCCAGCCGCCGCAGUAAGAC